GGUUAAUGUAGGUUAUUUUAAAGUUUUGAAAACUUUUCUUAGUUGGUCUAGUAAUCU
rnacentral:tRNA from 1 species